rnacentral:rRNA from 1 species
UGGGGAAUAUUGCGCAAUGGGCGAAAGCCUGACGCAGCGACGCCGCGUGAGGGAUGAAGGUUUUCGGAUCGUAAACCUCUGUCAGAAGGGAAGAAACCGCACUGUGCUAAUCAGCAGUGCCUUGACGGUACCUUCAAAGGAAUCACCGGCUAACUCCGUGCCAGCAGCCGCGGUAAUACGGAGGGUGCAAGCGUUAAUCGGAAUUACUGGGCGUAAAGCGCACGUAGGCUGCUUUGUAAGUCAGGGGUGAAAUCCCACGGCUCAACCGUGGAACUGCCUUUGAUACUGCUUAGCUUGAAUCCGGGAGAGGGUGGCGGAAUUCCAGGUGUAGGAGUGAAAUCCGUAGAUAUCUGGAGGAACAUCAGUGGCGAAGGCGGCCACCUGGACCGGUAUUGACGCUGAGGUGCGAAAGCGUGGGGAGCAAACAGG